rnacentral:rRNA from 1 species
CUGGCGGCACGCCUUAUACUGCAAGUCGAACGAAGUAGCAAUACUUAGUGGCAGACGGGUGAGUAACAUGUGGGUAUCUUCCCUUUGGUGAGGAAUAACACGAGGAAACUUGUGCUAAUACCUCAUAAGUCUUUACGGAGAAAGCUUUAUGCGCCAUUGGAUGAGCCCGCACUUGAUUAGUUAGUUGGUGGGGUAAAAGCCUACCAAGACUGUGAUCAAUAGCUGAUUUGAGAGGAUGAUCAGCCACAUUGGGACUGAGACACGGCCCAAACUCCUACGGGAGGCAGCAGUAAGGAAUCUUGCACAAUGGAGGAAACUCUGAUGCAGCGAUGCCGCGUGAGUGAAGAAGGCCUUUGGGUUGUAAAGCUCUUUCGUCGGGGAAGAAAAUGACUGUACCCGAAUAAGAAGGUCCGGCUAA